AUGAAUAAAUUUAUUUAUGGAUUCUUUUUACCGCCUGGAUUGUCCCCAAAAAUCGGGGGUGACAACCCUGGGGUGGCACUGAGGGGACAUCGGGGGGUCCCCACCUGCAAACCCUCCCCCAAAUUUAACCCCAGAACCCCCAAAAAUUUGCCCCAGAAACUCCAAAAUUUGCUGAAAAUCCCCCCAAAUUUGCCCCAAACCCCCAAAUUUAUCCCCAGAACCCCCCAAAAUUUGCUGAAGAUCCCCCAAAAUUUGUCUUGGAGUCCCCCAAAUUUAACCCCAGAAGCCCCAGAUUUGCCCCAGGGUGUGGGGACUCAAAACUCUGCACCCCAAAUUCUGCACCCCAAAUUCUGCACCCCAAACUCUGCACCCCAAAAUUCUGCACCCCAAAUUCUGCCCCCCACAUUUCCCACCCCAAAUUCUGCACCUGGGGCAAUUUUUGGGGGGAAUCUGGGGCAGAUUUUGGGGAUCACAGGGUUAAAUUUGGGGGGACUCUGGGGCAAUUUUCGGGGUCUCGGGCAAGUUUGGGGGUGAUGGGGCAAAUUUUAGGACUUGGGGGAAAAUUUAGGGGGGAUCUGGGGCAAAUUUGGGGUCUCUGGGUCAAAAUUUGGCUGUGGCAAAUCUGGGGUGCCGAAUUUGGGGUCCUUGACUGUUAUGUGUCCCCAUGUCCCCUCUGUUGUCCCCAUGUCCCUUAUGGUGUCCCCAUGCCCCCUCUGAUGUCCCCAUGUCCCCAUGGUGUCCCCCAUGAGCCCUGUGGUGUCCCCAUGUCCCCUCUGAUGUCCCCAUGUCCCCUCUGGUAUCCCCAUGUCCCUUAUCAUGUCCCCAUGUCUCUUAUGGUGUCCCCACGUCCCUUGCGAUGUCCCCAUGUCCCUUGUGAGUGUCCCCCCAUCCCCUACAGAUUCCCCACGUCCCCUCUGAAGCCCCCAUGUCCCCUGUGGUGUCCCCACGUCCCCUCUGAAGUCCCCAUGUCCCCUCUGAAAUCCCCAUGUCCCCUCUGAGGUCCCCAUGACCCCUCUGAUGUCCCUGUGUCCCCUCUGGUGUCCCCAUGUCCCUUAUGGUGUCCCCAUGUCCCCUCUGGUGUCCCCAUGUCCCCUCUGAUGUCCCCAUGUCACCUCUGAUGUCCCCAUGUCCCUUAUGGUGUCCCCAUGAUACCCAUGGUGUCCCCAUGCCCCCUCUGAUGUCCCCAUGCCCCCUCUGAUGUCCCUAUGUCCCCUGUGGUGUCCCCAUGCCCCCUCUGAUGUCCCCAUGCCCCCUGUGGUGUCCCCAUGUCCAUUAUGGUGUCCCCAUGACCCCUCUGAUGUCCCCAUGUCCCCUCUGGUGUCCCCAUGUCCCCUGUGGUAUCCCCAUGUCCCCUCUGAUGUCCCCAUGUCCCCCAUGGUGUCCCCAUGUCCCCUCUGGUGUCCCCAUGUCCCUUAUGGUGUCCCCAUGUCCCCUGUGAUGUCCCCACUGCCCCCACACGUCCCCCCCUCCAAGGACACCAAGGCCAAUUGCUCAGAAAUGACUUUUUUAACCAAAAAAACCCCAAAAAACCCAA
rnacentral:lncRNA from 1 species